GGCAGACCCUAUGUGGGUAAGGAGCACUGUGACAGAGGGAGAAGAGCAAGAGAGAAGAAACCACACGGUGGCUCUUAAAGUUGCUGUUUAGAAGAGAGACAUGUCAUUUCCACUCACAUUUCACUGCUUUUAUAGAUUGGUGAGGACAAAUUGGCAUAGUCUCAGGGUCAGAGUUUCCCUUCAACUUCCUCUCUCCUAAAAAGUCAUAUUGAAGAACUUCCCUGGCGGUCCAGUGGUUAAGAUUCUGUGCUUCCACUGCAGGGGUCAUGGGUUUGAUCCCUGGUCAGGAAACGAAGAUCCUGCAUGCCAUGUGAUGCAGCCUAAAUAAAUAAAUA